rnacentral:piRNA from 1 species
GAACCAUGUAACUGAGCCUUCUGUGGGUU